CGUGUCCAUCUUCGUCCUGUUGCUGGUCCUUCAGCCACAGCUGACUUCUUUCCACUGAAAUGAAACACAGUGUUGGAAACAAGUGAAACUCUACUGCAGCAGCUGUCUGUGCUCCUCAUGCAAGUUUUUUUUAUCUUUUAUUUAGCACCUCUUCCUCUUCGUGGAGCUCCGAUGUGGUUCUUCUUCCCUGUUCUGGUAAACCUUUUAACCAGUCAGCAGUCUACCAACGCAGAGCUACAUGCUGUUGGCUUUUUGGAGGACUCUGUGCUAGUUGAAUUCCUAUGAUCCUUCCCUCCAUGUAGCUGCAGAGCUACGAAAAAUGGACACUAGUGCAGGACCAAUAAUUGCAAAGUUUAUCCUUAAGUCACUGAAGUCAUGUCUAAGUGUUUGAGUCCAUAAACACCGGGGUGUUUUCAUAUGUGAGCAUCUGUGCUGCUGCUUAGCACUGGACACUUAAUGGGCGUGUCACAGUAUGUGCUCUCCCUCUGCUUCCACUGUGCAAACAACUGGCCGUGUCUCAGUAUGCGUACUUGUGUGUACUUGUGUUCUGGUGGACUUGUGAUACGUCAUCAGUCGCAGACCAAGUACUGUUCAAAUUUAAAGUACGCUCAAAAUUCCCAGAUGUGUUCUCGCUCCUCCUGUUUUAUUGAGCAUGCAUCAGUGGAGACUUAUGUGGACUUGGUGCAGCCAAAUAUCCCAGAAUGCAUGAGCUGCUGUACCUCCUGCUCUUUUCUAGAAUCCGACGCUUGCCUGGAUUCACAGACAGUGAAUGGGAGAUAUGCACAUUAUGCUGUGGCUCAUUUACACACUGGUUUAUGACAUUAGUGAGAGGGGCCUGGCACUCCCAACUCGUCAUUUUCAACAUGCAUGGUUUGUGUUCUGGAAGGCAUGAGGCAGAAGUGUAGCUCAGCACGGCAUCAGUGGCGAUCGGGGCACAGAAGGAGUCACAACCAAAGAUGUUUUUUCUGCAGUUUUGGAGGAGGUAUUGCACCACUGAGGGAGGCUGCUGCCAUCUGGAUGUGCUGUUGCCAUGAAGGUCUUACAUUCACAUGAAAGCCAGGAUCCGAAGCUGACCAGCAAAACCAUGUAUUGUAAUGAGAUCGUCAGUGUUAAUCGCUUCAUCUCCCAGCGGUUUCAAUCGAUCGGCUGUACAUUUGUGUGUUUUUUAAGGUUUCACAUCCUCAAAAUGAAAUAAUAUGCAUGUAGCUGAGAACCACAGUGUGAAUAAAGA